AGUUUUCGGACAACUGAUUCAGAGGACAGUGGCGGACGGGUGAGUAACGCGUGAGGAACCUGCCUUUCAGAGGGGGACAACAGUUGGAAACGACUGCUAAUACCGCAUAAGACCACAGCCUCGCAUGGGGCAGGGGUCAAAGGAUUUAUCCGCUGAAAGAUGGGCUCGCGUCCGAUUAGCUAGAUGGUGAGGUAACGGCCCACCAUGGCGACGAUCGGUAGCCGGACUGAGAGGUUGAACGGCCACAUUGGGACUGAGACACGGCCCAGACUCC
rnacentral:rRNA from 1 species